AUGGAGAGUUUGAUCCUGGCUCAGGAUGAACGCUAGCGGGAGGCUUAAUACAUGCAAGUCGAGGGGUAACAGGGGACUUCGGUCCUGCUGACGACCGGCGAACGGGUGAGUUACGCGUACGCAACUUGCCUUCAAGCGGAGGAUAGCCCCGGGAAACUGGGAUUAAUACUCCAUAGUAUCAUAGAAUCGCAUGGUUUUAUGAUUAAAGAUCCGUUGCUUGAAGAUAGGCGUGCGUGCUAUUAGCUAGUUGGUAAGGUAGUGGCUUACCAAGGCGACGAUAGCUAGGGGGCGUGAGAGCGUGGCCCCCCACACGGGUACUGAGACACGGACCCGACUCCUACGGGAGGCAGCAGUAAGGAAUAUUGGACAAUGGGCGCAAGCCUGAUCCAGCUAUCCCGCGUGCAGGAUGACGGCCCUAUGGGUUGUAAACUGCUUUUAUACAGGAAGAAACGCUUCCAUUUAUGGGAGCCUGACGGUACUGUACGAAUAAGCACCGGCUAACUCCGUGCCAGCAGCCUCGGUAAUACGGAGGGUGCAAGCGU
rnacentral:rRNA from 1 species